GAUGAACGCUGGCGGCGUGCCUAAUACAAGCAAGUCGAGCGAACAGAUGAGGAGCUUGCUCCUCUGACGUUAGCGGCGGACGGGUGAGUAACACGUGGAUAACCUACCUAUAAGACUGGGAUAACUUCGGGAAACCGGAGCUAAUACCGGAUAAUAUAUUGAACCGCAUGGUUCAAUAGUGAAAGACGGUUUUGCUGUCACUUAUAGAUGGAUCCGCGCCGCAUUAGCUAGUUGGUAAGGUAACGGCUUACCAAGGCAACGAUGCGUAGCCGACCUGAGAGGGUGAUCGGCCACACUGGAACUGAGACACGGUCCAGACUCCUACGGGAGGCAGCAGUAGGGAAUCUUCCGCAAUGGGCGAAAGCCUGACGGAGCAACGCCGCGUGAGUGAUGAAGGUCUUCGGAUCGUAAAACUCUGUUAUUAGGGAAGAACAAAUGUGUAAGUAACUAUGCACGUCUUGACGGUACCUAAUCAGAAAGCCACGGCUAACUACGUG
rnacentral:rRNA from 1 species